rnacentral:rRNA from 1 species
UACAGAGGUGGCAAGCGUUGUUCGGAAUUACUGGGCGUAAAGGGCGCGUAGGCGGCCUUUCAAGUCGGACGUGAAAUCCCCGGGCUUAACUCGGGAACUGCGUCCGAUACUGGGAGGCUUGAGUUCGGGAGAGGGAUGUGGAAUUCCAGGUGUAGCGGUGAAAUGCGUAGAUAUCUGGAGGAACACCGGUGGCGAAGGCGGCAUCCUGGACCGAAACUGACGCUGAGGCGCGAAAGCCAGGGGAGCAAACGGGAUUAGAAACCCCCGUAGUCC